UACGGGGGGGGGCAAGCGUUGUUCGGAAUUACUGGGCGUAAAGGGCUCGUAGGCGGCCAACUAAGUCAGACGUGAAAUCCCUCGGCUUAACCGGGGAACUGCGUCUGAUACUGGAUGGCUUGAGUUCGGGAGAGGGAUGCGGAAUUCCAGGUGUAGCGGUGAAAUGCGUAGAUAUCUGGAGGAACACCGGUGGCGAAGGCGGCAUCCUGGACCGACACUGACGCUGAGGAGCGAAAGCCAGGGGAGCAA
rnacentral:rRNA from 1 species